GCCUCAAAAACUGACAGGUGGAUGACGUCAAAGUACCGCGAGAGCGAUUCGAGAAAUCAUACUUUUAGAUCCCUCUCGCGGAACUUUGACGUCACUCGCUUGUCGGUUCUUGCCGCGCUGCAUGAAGUAGAACAAGCCAUUUUGACGCUUGUGGAGCGCGCUCUCUUGAAGUGGUUUGUUGGAUUGAUUGACUUCCAUAGGAAUUAAUUGAAAUCGCUAGCUCGCCAAUAAUCGCUCAAACCCCGUCACCGAAACGCGACACUUUGUAACACGCUGAGCAAGAUCAAAGAAGAUGAAUAUUUACCUAUAAGUGAGUUAAACCAUACCAGUUACGAAAAGGACUUUAUGUUUGACACCGAGCUAUUUUUUGAAGCAAGAAAACACCCUGGUCAGGUGCAUGCAGAUAUAAGGUGAGAGAGACAGUCGUGUGGAAAAUGCGCACUGUGGCAUCUGAGAUGAGUGCUGCUGAAGGUCAUCGGUCCUCGCGGCUGCUAUCUUGAACCUGCUGCUCCGCUGUCAGUAUCUCCAUGCAGAUAGUGAUGACCUCUCACGUAUCCGUGCGUGUAUAUCAGGAGAUAUACAUAAAGGCUGGUUUUAGGUCUGCUGGUUUUAGGAAGAUGCAGUUUGCGUGAAGGUUGCUUAACUCACGCCAGGAUAAAAUCUCUUUCUGUCUCCCUGACUUAUUUAUGAGUGCCCACCAGGGUGUUCACUGAGGGACAUCACAGGCAUCCAUCACAGUCCUGUCGGUCUCCACGCAGCAUCCAUUGAUUUGCACGUCUCAAAGCAGACAUUCACCAUCAAUCAAUAAGCUGCAGUUUGCUGUGAUUGUUCAGAGCACAUGAUGUUAAUCUGGUGAUGAUGUGUGGACAGCAGCUGUAAAACACAG